AUGACCCCAAAACCCACAUGGCCCCAAAUCCUGGGCAUCCCCGAAGCCUCAGUGUCCCCAAAUCUGUGCUGUUCCCAAAUCCCCAAAGCCUCAACAACCCCCAUAUUCUCCAUGUCCCCAAUCUAUGGGGCUCCCCUGCUUUCCUUUAGGCUGACGGCAGCUGAAGGGACCCGCAAGAAGGACUUGGAAAGGCUGAAGGCCAGCGAGGAUUGGGGCAGAGCAAUGGAGAGCCGGCUGGUGGCGCUGGAGAAGGAGCACAGGGAGCUGCAGGACGCCAUUGCCCGACUAUUGGGUCGGCCCAGCAGGACGGGACGGGGGGCAGCGGCACCGAGAUGGGAUGAGGGUGGGGAUGAAGGACAGGCCACCAGCGUGUGACAUGGGGUGGCACCACAACAAGGCCGUGAACACGAGGGACUGAUCCUGAUCCUGAUGGGUUUGUGUCCCUUGGGAAUAAAGACUGUUGGUGUCGCUGGGACUCGGUGCUG
rnacentral:lncRNA from 1 species